rnacentral:rRNA from 1 species
CCUACGGGUGGCAGCAGUGGGGAAUAUUGCACAAUGGGUGAAAGCCUGAUGCAGCAACGCCGCGUGAGUGAUGAAGGCCUUCGGGUCGUAAAGCUCUGUCCUCAAGGAAGAUAAUGACGGUACUUGAGGAGGAAGCCCCGGCUAAGUACGUGCCAGCAGCCGCGGAAAUACGUCGGGGGUUAGCGUUAGCGGGAAUUACGGGGCGUAAAGGGUGCGUAGGUGGUUUCUUAUGUCAGAGGUGAAAGGCUACGGCUAAACCGUAGUAAUCCUUUGAAACUGGGGAACUUGAGUGCAGGAGAGGAGAGUGGAAUUCCUAGUGUAGCGGUGAAAUGCGUAGAUAUUAGGAGGAACACCAGUGGCGAAGGCGGCUCUCUGGACUGUAACUGACACUGAGGCACGAAAGCGUGGGGAGCAAACAGGAUUAGAUACCCGGGUAGUC